AUAACAACUAAACUCCGUUUAUUCUGCUAACAACUCAUCACUCGAACAACAACAGGGGCACGUGUUUACAAUUGAGGGUAUUGCUAAAUCCCCCUCUAAGACCUAAAUGUCUUAUGGUAACGCAAGAAUGUUCUAGAACUGUCACGCAAGGAAUGUUGGGAGCACCCCAAUCAAAACUACCAAAUGCAAAAGUGCUGUAUUUGUGUACAUAAUUUUUUAUUUAGGACCCUUAAUUGCAGAUUACAUAAUCUUCUAAACAAGGUUAAAUUUAGUGAAUUGAAGGUAUUAGUUUGGGUUUGAUUAAGUGCUUUUUUUUUCCUUUAGGGGAAUUGGAAAGAAAGGAAAGGCAGCAUUCCGGGAAACCUUUAGUCGCAUUUCUGAGUUGCGUUCAUUAUUGAAAAGUUGCACGCCAGUGUUGGGGUUAACGGCAACUGCAAACAGAGAAAUGCGUGACUGCUUAAUGAAGUACCUUGGCAUGAAUAGCAACCUAUUGCCAAUAGUUGUUAGUCCCAACAAGGACAACAUCCGUUUCACUGUGGUGAAAGCAAACAGCAAAUUACAUUGCUUUGAUUGGCUUUUACACAUUUUGAGAGAGAAAAAGGGCCAAACACCAUUCACAAUUAUUUUUUGUAAGACAGUGAAUGACAUUGUAUCUGUUCUGACAUUUUUUCUGAUGGAACUGGGACAAUCAGGAGUUUAUGUCGAGGGUGAAGGGUCCAUUGAUGAGAGAUGUCUUCUUGGAGUUUAUUACUCCCAGACACCCCUAAGUCACAAGGAUUGCAUUACAAAGUCUUCUGAGGGGUUGUCUGGACAUGUAAGGGUGGUAUUUGCAUCUACAUCACUAAGUAUGGGAGUGGACUUCCCUCAUGUUAAAUAUGUUGUACACUGUGGUCCUUCCAAAAACUUAACAAGCCAUCUACAAGAAGCAGGACGUGCAGGAAGGGAUGGACCCGAGGCUUAUCAUGUCACUAUUUAUCAAGGAUGGCAUCUAAUUACAUAUGAGUCUGACAUAAAAGCUGCUGUACGGAAGUCACUGACAUCAUGUUGCCGCAUUGCCUUCCUUGAAAGCUUUGAUAAUGAAGUUUGUUCGAUAUCGCCAAUGCAUGAUGGCUGUAAUGUGUGCCAUAAAAGCUGCAAAUGCGAGGAUUCUGGAUGCAGUAAACCCAUUCCAAACUUUGAUUGUGUACCUACUAGUGAAUGUGAUCAAGAAAAAUCAAGGGACUUUUCAGAGGAUGAGAGAGCAUGCCUUAAGGAAGCACUAAAUGAAGUUCAAAGGUCGUUGUCUUCACAAUCAAAGAUAAGGAUGUUUGACAGCACUGGAAUUGUUGGACAUGGACUAUCUGAUGAUUUAAUUGACACAAUUGUGAGCAAUGUCCACGACAUUUAUACUGUGUAUGAUGUAAUUGAUUACUGCAAUGCUCCUUCCUUAAACAAGGACCCGCACCAUAAAAGGCAUAGCUCCUCCCCCUCUUUGUCACGCAAUCUUUGUUCAUAGUCCUAAUCAAAGAUGGCGGACUCAGUGAGGAAGAUGCGGUAAACCCACUCUGCAAUGGAACAAAUAAAAACCUACACAUUAAGAACUUAAUGCGAGUGUAGAACCACCCAAAUUGUGAAUUUAAGUCAGAAAUGUACUAAAAUCCUGAUCCUUCUAACGCUAAUUGAAGAAUUUAGCGAAGGAAAUUUGAAUUUCCCGCCUGUAACCGUCCCUGUCAAUCCCUGAACAUACGCACCCGCUCACAGACUCCUCGUAGACGAUUCGUUGCUUUGUUGAGCCUUCAAUAUGCCUAUGUCAUCGUCUAUGCAAUAUUUGGCAUGCUUAAAAAAAGGGCAUGAUGUAAUAUAUGCGUUUUUGGGAAUGACGGUUCGGUUCAUGGCGGAAGCUGUCGUGCUUUGGUGCCACAACUUCCACUUUGAAUCGAGCUAGUUUGCACGCAUUGUCUUUGCUUCUUAGGCGCUCUUUUAUCUUAUCAACUAUUUUUCGGUGCAUUGGAUUUUUCAUGGCAGAAUCUUUCUCCAAGAAGCCCAAACUAAUGCCUCCUCGUGCACAACGGAUUACGUACAGCAUACAGCUUGAAGUUGAAGUGGGUAUGGAGGAGUGUUUAGAGGCAUUGAAAGCUAAAAUUCAAGGUGUUAAAAGUGCCUUACGUAUAACCAGUUGUACACCAAUGGGUAACCUUUUGAUGAUGGAACGAUAUCUGAGCUCAUUCAAAGAGUUUGAACGAAGUCAGAUGGUAAUCACAGCCAGUCAAUCUUUGUUUUUGUCAACGAUACAACAGCCUUCAGCACAACCUUCAUCACAACCUUCGCCACAACCUUUUCCUUCAUGUUCGAAAAAAAUAGAUGCACAAACGCAAACGGAUAUCUCUGAUCCGUAUAUUUUGGGUUACGGUGAAAAUACAACCGGAAAGUUCAAUAUCCACACCCAAAGUACGGAGAACAAAGACUAUUUUCUUUCAUCCAAUGAUGCGGUGCGAAACCUCAUAUCUACAAUGGCACAAUAUUGCGGAAGGUGUCCCUUAUGUGGCUAUCCUCUAGAGUUGCCAUCAUUCGAUGCGAUAAAGCAUGGACAUGUGGCGCUCGUCAGCGUGGGCUGCGUGGCCGGUCAUUCCUGUCGAUGGAAUUCCAGCAGUAUCAUCGGCGGAAAGUACACAGCCAAUUUGAGGUAAAAGGUUUUACAUGGAUUUAUCAGUUCUGGCCUUACCGAGACCCAGUAUGUCAGUGCUUGUAAGGCAGCUCACAUCGGAAAUGUGGACGAGAGAUACAUUACUACCGGUAUUACAAUUUCUCUGAAAUAAUAAUCCUCUCUGACAAUAGCAGUAUCGUUAUACUGUACUUGGUGUACUACACAAAAAUUCCAUAUACUCAUCAGUUAUCAUGCAAUUUCUAGAAAAAGUGUCAUAGAGUUUAUUUCUUUUCAUUGCCUUCUUCCUUGCCAUGCAGGAAACCAGUUAUGCAGCUUACUUUUCUCUUGUGAACAUACUUCAGUUGCUCUUUUUCUCUCUUUCCAGUAUACACUUCUUUAGGAUACAAGAAUGCUGUGAAAGCCUGGUAUGAGAUAAAAUUACAGGAAGCUAGGUCGGAAGCACAGCAGGUUGCUCAAUAUCUUCUCCAAGGGGAUGUAUGUUUCCGAGGCAUGAUGUAGCCUUUC